GUCCUGCAUUAAUAAAUAAUGCUAUAACAUGCAUCCGCCACCUAACAUAAAAUAAAUAUUUCAUCAUUCUGAAGACAAACAAAGACACAAGGCUGGAUGGAACGUUGGGGAUGCCAUGGCUUAAGCAUACAUACGUAGUACUUUGAAGAAUUUAGGUUCAGUAACAUUUUUUAAUAAUUUUUUUUAUUUAUAAAUUAUAACAAUACACAAUUAAAAUUUAAUUUCUUAUAUAUUUACAUCUAUUAACCACUAAAGACAACUUUAUAAAAGGUGAAAAGAGCUGAAAGCUCAAUAUGCAACAUGCUUUUUCUUUUCUUAUCUAGUUCCUUUUAAGGAUUCCUAGCGAAAGCUAGCCUUUUCCUUUUUGUACGGAGGACACUUGGUUUCCUGUGAAGUAAAUUUAUUUUGUUUUAACAAGUGGGGGUAUUUAUUUUCUCCCUUUUAAAAAAAGUUAUUUUGAGGAUUUCAAGGGUGAUUUUCAAGUGGGUUCUGAACAUUGUGGCCGUUGAUUUGAUUAUACAGAGAGGCAAGAAAUGAUGAUGGGAGGUGAAGCUAAUAAUAUUAGUAGCAAGAAGAAGAGAUCAGUUACCAUGGUUUCACUGAUACUGUAUUCUCUUCAUUUCUUCUCCAUUUUGCAGCCUUUUGAAUAAU
rnacentral:lncRNA from 1 species